rnacentral:lncRNA from 1 species
ACUUCUGCUCGCAGUGCAUUCUGUGUUCUUUUAGGUCUUUUUUGUGCACUUACAAAACAGACGUGAAUAUACUUAUAUAUACACAGUUCACCUAUGUCUUCUUUAAUCACACGUCCCUAUUGGCUGCUUGGAUAACUUAGCUUGUUGCCUCCGCAUUGCCACGUCUGGGAAGUGGUGACCUGGGAAGAGAUGGAUAAAUAAACAAAAGAAGAAAUGAAAGCGCUGUUGUGAGCCAGGGAUAUGUGGCAGCGAGGGGUCGCUGGGCUGUGUGAGUGGCUUGACUUCAGUGGAGGUUCAUCAGGAACCUGGAGGGGCGCCGAGGAAAUGAGGAUCCCAGGCUCUCGCUGGGGUUACAGCCCAAAGACCUUGAACAACUGCAUUCUCGGCAUUUUGAUAUCAUUUUUUCUUUCUUGUUUUCUUUUUUCCCCCCAUUUUUUGUUUGUUCCUAGAAACGUGGCCAGGAAGUAUGCAGUCACUGUUAGCCACCU